rnacentral:rRNA from 1 species
UACCAGCACCCCGAGUGGUCGGGACGAUUAUUGGGCUAAAAGCAUCCGUAGCCGGUCCUGCAAGUCUUCCGUUAAAUCCAGCUGCUCAACAGAUGGGCUGCGGGGGAUACUACAGGGCUAGGAGGCGGGAGAGGCAAGCGGUACUUUAUGGGUAGGGGUAAAAUCCGUUGAUCCAUAGAAGACCACCAGUGGCGAAGGCGGCUUGCCAGAACGCGCUCGACGGUGAGGGAUGAAAGCUGGGGGAGCAAACCGG